CCCUUAGAUGUUCUGGGCUGCACGCGCGCUACACUGAAGCGUUCAACGAGUAUUUCACCUUGCCCGGGAGGGUUGGGUAAUCUUUUUAAAACGCUUCGUGAUGGGGAUAGAUUAUUGCAAUUAUUAAUCUUCAACGAGGAAUUCCUAGUAAGCGCGAGUCAUCAGCUCGUGCUGAUUACGUCCCUGCCCUUUGUACACACCGCCCGUCGCGCCUACCGAUUGAGUGAUCCGGUGAAUAAUUCGGACUGCAGCAGUGCUUGGUCCUCCGGGCUUUGCAGCGGAAAGUUUAGUGAACCUUAUCACUUAGAGGAAGGAGAAGUCGUAACA
rnacentral:rRNA from 1 species